rnacentral:lncRNA from 10 species
GGGAGGUGAGUGAGCAUUCUUGUGUUCUAGAAAGGUUGCUCUGGUUGCUGUGUGGAGGCUGGAGGAUCCAGGGAGCCCCCCAGGAGGCUGCUGCACUAGUCCAGGAGAAGAAGAGGAAAAGACCCUGUGUGUCCAUCACAGGGAAGAUGGAGGGGAUGCAAUGCCCUGGCGUAUAAGUGACAGAUUUCACCACCACUUCACAGCAACAUGAUGGAUCUUAAGACCUCACACAAGGCUGAGAAGGAAGAAAGAAAGAAGGAAGGAAGGAGAAGGAAGAAAGGACAGGAGGAAAGAAAGAAGAAAGGGAGAAAUUGAGAUAUAGGACCCAACACGUCCUACAAAAAUAUAUAUAUCCAUACAAAUAGCAGCACAUAUUUUAUAAUUGAAAAGUACACGUCAAAACUGUAGAACGGUUGACUAUGGGACGAACGGAGCUGGGAUAUGGGGCUAAGAGGGAAGAAAUCAGAGAAAAUAAAGGCUUUCUCCUAC